GCAAUACAUAAACUUCCUUCUUUCCCAGUGCCCACUUCAGGUAUUCUCUCAAAUCUAUUCUUUACCACAGCCCGCAGUAUUAGGCUCCAUACAAAUGCUUUGAGAUGAAAUGUGUAUUGCACAAAUAAGGAGGUGGCUAAAUGCUUCCUUCUGGUAUUUGAACCUAGGACUCCUCAUUGUUACCCUGUGAUAAAUAGUAUUAGGCAAAUUUCACAGUGAGUGUUACUACGUAUUCUUUCACAGAGCCACAAGUAUUCACAUGACUGUGAUCAGCUGACUUUUUACUUAUUGUUAAAUCUGUAUAUGCCAAUAGACACAGCUGAAGGAUUAGGAUCUAGUGAAAAAGUCUAAUUAAACUCUAAGGCUAAACAAACAGCUGAUCUGUUUUCAAUGUGUAGUGUCACUGGAGUUGAAAUCCAUUCAAAAUCUUUCCUUCCCCAUUUUAUCCCUUCUGAACAGAAAACUAUAGCAAAAAUCCUGAAAUAGAUGUCUGAGUGAGACUUGUAGAAUAAAUACUGUUGUAUGUGUAUUUCUAUGACUCUAAAUGUUAGGAUGUUAAACUUACUAUUAACCUUUAAAAUUUAAAAUCAUUCAUUCAGAUUGUGAUUCAGAAUCGACUAAAUCGUUUACUGCAUCUGUUCCGUGGGCUAACAAGAGACUCCAGAGUAGUGGAGGAAGGCUCUGCAUCUGGAAACAGGUGUUUCAGCAAAACAGAGAGUGAAGAAUAUCAGGGCAUUUCUUCCAGCAUAUCUGAAGAUCGCAUAUUACCUUUUGAAUUCCCCUUCUACAGUUCCCUUGAACUGUGCCGUGAUUUGGUAGGUAUAGUAAUUAAAAUGGUGGCCAACAGUAAAGAUAACAUUUUGUUGAAGACGUUGGCCCCAGAACCCAUACUGUAAAGUAUAAAAAACCAACGUAACUGGCGUUCUGGAGUUCCAACAAAUUAAUUCAGGACUUCAGGUUUAUUGAGAGUGCUGCUAAGCACUUGAAAAGCAGUUAAACGUUUGCAUUCUCUUGAUUACAUUUUGAAAUUAUGUGUAAUACAUUAAUGACCAAAGUUAGUUAAAAUCCAUGAUUUUGCACAGG
rnacentral:lncRNA from 1 species